rnacentral:rRNA from 1 species
ACACUCCUACGGGAGGCAGCAGUAGGGAAUCUUCGGCAAUGGGGGCAACCCUGACCGAGCAACGCCGCGUGAGUGAAGAAGGUUUUCGGAUCGUAAAGCUCUGUUGUAAGUCAAGAACGAGUGUGAGAGUGGAAAGUUCACACUGUGACGGUAGCUUACCAGAAAGGGACGGCUAACUACGUGCCAGCAGCCGCGGUAAUACGUAGGUCCCGAGCGUUGUCCGGAUUUAUUGGGCGUAAAGCGAGCGCAGGCGGUUUGAUAAGUCUGAAGUUAAAGGCUGUGGCUCAACCAUAGUUCGCUUUGGAAACUGUCAAACUUGAGUGCAGAAGGGGAGAGUGGAAUUCCAUGUGUAGCGGUGAAAUGCGUAGAUAUAUGGAGGAACACCGGUGGCGAAAGCGGCUCUCUGGUCUGUAACUGACGCUGAGGCUCGAAAGCGUGGGGAGCGAACAGGAUUAGAAACCCCUGUAGUCCC